GGGUAUGAAAUGUCGAGCGCGAGCGACACCUAAGUUUACCCCACGUAAGUUUUUAAAAUUUUUAAAUUACCAAAAUCGACAUUACCGACAUACCAGGCGACAUACAUUUUACUGAAACGACAACAGAUGAUGCGAUGGCGGUUGCGAUUAUCAGAGGAAUUCCGCAGUAGUUGUGGCGUUAUUGAGCAAUAGUGAGUAGUUUCACGACUUGUAAUAUUUUAAAAUGUUUGUAAGAAGUACUUUUACCUAUCCUGCAAGUAAGUAAUAUAUUGAAUACUUCAAUCAUUCUUUACAAUAAGUAAAAAAACGAUGUUUUCUGUCCAACACAGAAAAACCGUGAUGUGCAGUCUACACUAUUACGGGGUCAAAUUAAUUUGAAAUGUUCUACCUAGAUUAUACAGUUCCUGCAGGAGUUAAAAGUCAAGAUGCCGCUUUUCAUUUUCCUGAAGUAACAGCGGUUCCAACGAAAGUGGCAGAACUUCUUCUGGUAGAGGAAUAGAAGCAGACGGAAUUGCCCCAUUAAAAGAUGAAAAAGUACUGCAUCCAGUGAAAACAUAUGACGGGAAAAGAAGAAUUGUUUCAACUGCAGAAAGUACACUC